UCAUACGAGCAUACAUGCAAAAUUAUUGCAGGCAGCCAACAGUUACAGGAAAAUAUUGAACUAUAUAUGAUAAUGAUACAUGUAAAAUAUCUAAUUGCAGGCUCACAGUCACAACUCACGAGCUUUAAUCAUCAGCACAGAGCAUGUUCGUCAAUACACUUGCACCGCAUCGUAUACUGCUAACAAUCAAUCGAUCAUCAAGAAAUUCUGGUUCCACGCCAUUUUACAACUCUUUUACUGGAAUUCUAUUAGGCAUUGAGCAGUGUACUGUGUACACGUGUGCUCUUUCUCCGCUUCGGCGACCCACUUUCUGAAGAGGAAGACUCAGGCGAACGGCGCUUGUGGGUCACUCUGACAGUCUCUAUUUUCUCGUCUGAGCCGAUCAAGUGAGGGAAAUUAAGCUUAGCUUUUGAGCCGCGCAUCU
rnacentral:misc_RNA from 1 species